rnacentral:rRNA from 1 species
UAGCAUAUCAAUAAGCGGAGGAAAAGAAACCAACAGGGAUUGCCCUAGUAACGGCGAGUGAAGCGGCAAUAGCUCAAAUUUGAAAUCUGGCUCUCUUGCGGGGUCCGAGUUGUAAUUUGUAGAGGGUGCUUUGGCGUUGGCGGCGGUCUAAGUUUCUUGGAACAGGACAUCACAGAGGGUGAGAAUCCCGUAUGUGGUCGCCGACCUUCGCUGUGUAAAGCCCCUUCGACGAGUCGAGUUGUUUGGGAAUGCAGCUCUAAAUGGGAGGUAAAUUUCUUCUAAAGCUAAAUACUGGCCAGAGACCGAUAGCGCACAAGUAGAGUGAUCGAAAGAUGAAAAGCACUUUGGAAAGAGAGUCAAACAGCACGUGAAAUUGUUGAAAGGGAAGCGCUUGCAGCCAGACUUGCUUGUAGUUGCUCAUCCGGGCGUUUCGCCCGGUGCACUCUUCUGCAGGCAGGCCAGCAUCAGUUUGGGCGGCCGGAUAAGGGUCUCUGUCACGUAUUUCUCUACGGAGUAACCUUAUAGGGGAGGCGUAGUACGGUCAGCCCGGACUGAGGUCCGCGCUUCUGCUAGGAUGCUGGCGUAAUGGCUGUAAGCGGCCCGUCUUGAAACACGGACCAAGGAGUCUAACAUCUAUGCGAGUGUUUGGGUGUCAAGCCCGAGCGCGCAAUGAAAGUGAACGGAGGUGGGAACCUUAGGGUGCACCAUCGACCGAUCCUGAUGUCUUCGGAUGGAUUUGAGUAAGAGCAUAGCUGUUGGGACCCGAAAGAUGGUGAACUAUGCUUGAAUAGGGUGAAGCCAGAGGAAACUCUGGUGGAGGCUCGCAGCGGUUCUGACGUGCAAAUCGAUCGUCAAAUUUGGGCAUAGGGGCGAAAGACUAAUCGAACUAUCUAGUAGCUGGUUCCUGCA